rnacentral:rRNA from 1 species
GACGAACGCUCGCGGCGUGCUUAACACAUGCAAGUCGAACGGAAAGGCCCUGCUUUUGUGGGGUGCUCGAGUGGCGAACGGGUGAGUAACACGUGAGUAACCUGCCCUUGACUUUGGGAUAACUUCAGGAAACUGGGGCUAAUACCGGAUAGGAGCUCCUGCUGCAUGGUGGGGGUUGGAAAGUUUCGGCGGUUGGGGAUGGACUCGCGGCUUAUCAGCUUGUUGGUGGGGUAGUGGCUUACCAAGGCUUUGACGGGUAGCCGGCCUGAGAGGGUGACCGGCCACAUUGAGACUGAGAUACGGCCCAGACUCCUACGGGAGGCAGCAGUGGGGAAUAUUGCACAAUGGGCGGAAGCCUGAUGCAGCAACGCCGCGUGCGGGAUGACGGCCUUCGGGUUGUAAACCGCUUUCGCCUGUGACGAAGCGUGAGUGACGGUAAUGGGUAAAGAAGCACCGGCUAACUACGUG